rnacentral:rRNA from 1 species
AGAGUUUGAUCAUGGCUCAGGACGAACGCUGGCGGCGUGCCUAAUACAUGCAAGUCGAGCGAAUCUUUAGGAGCUUGCUCCUGAAGGUUAGCGGCGGACGGGUGAGUAACACGUGGGCAACCUGCCUGUAAGACUGGGAUAACAUCGGGAAACCGAUGCUAAUACCGGAUAAUCCUUUUCCUCUCAUGAGGAAAAGUUGAAAGUCGGUUUCGGCUGACACUUACAGAUGGGCCCGCGGCGCAUUAGCUAGUUGGUGAGGUAACGGCUCACCAAGGCGACGAUGCGUAGCCGACCUGAGAGGGUGAUCGGCCACACUGGGACUGAGACACGGCCCAGACUCCUACGGGAGGCAGCAGUAGGGAAUCUUCCACAAUGGACGAAAGUCUGAUGGAGCAACGCCGCGUGAGCGAUGAAGGCCUUCGGGUCGUAAAGCCCUGUUGUUAGGGAAGAACAAGUAUCGGAGUAACUGCCGGUACCUUGACGGUACCUAACCAGAAAGCCACGGCUAACUACGUGCCAGCAGCCGCGGUAAUAC